UACGUAGGGUGCGAGCGUUAAUCGGAAUUACUGGGCGUAAAGCGUGCGCAGGCGGCUAUUUAAGUCAGGUGUGAAAGCCCUGGGCUUAACCUAGGAAUUGCGCUUGAGACUGGAUAGCUUGGAGUGCGGCAGAGGGAGGUGGAAUUCCACGUGUAGCAGUGAAAUGCGUAGAGAUGUGGAGGAACACCAAUGGCGAAGGCAGCCUUCUGGGCCAACACUGACGCUCAUGCACGAAAGCGUGGGGAGCAAACAGG
rnacentral:rRNA from 1 species